CGGCGGACGGGUGAGUAACGCGUGGGUAACCUGCCUCAUACGGGGGGAUAACAGUUAGAAAUGGCUGCUAAUACCGCAUAAGACCACAGUACUGCAUGGUACAGUGGUAAAAACUCCGGUGGUAUGAGAUGGACCCGCGUCUGAUUAGGUAGUUGGUGAGGUAACGGCCCACCAAGCCGACGAUCAGUAGCCGACCUGAGAGGGUGACCGGCCACAUUGGGACUGAGACACGGCCCAG
rnacentral:rRNA from 1 species